AAGGAUCAUUACCGAGUUAGGGUCCUCUGGGCUCGACCUCCAACCCUUUGUCUACCUUACCUUACGUUGCUUCGGCGGGUCCGUCCUGAAAAGGACCGCCGGAGGGUGGUUUCACCCUCUGGCCCGUACCCGCCGGUGGCCUCCAACCAAACUCUCGUCAAAAACGUGUCGUCUGAAGUACAAAACAAAUAAAUAAAAACUUUCAACAACGGAUCUCUUGGUUCUG
rnacentral:misc_RNA from 1 species